rnacentral:rRNA from 1 species
CAUCCCGAACACGAACGUUAAGUCCUCCAGCGCCGAUGGUACUUGGACCGCAGGGUCCUGGGAGAGUAGGACGUUGCCAAGC